CCACCUUUGAGCGGGGAUAACGUUCCGAAAGGAACGCUAAUACCGCAUAAGACCACGACGUCUUCGGAUGUUGCGGUCAAAGCUGGCCUCUUCUUGAAAGCUAGCACUCAAAGACGAGCCUGCGGCCCAUCAGCUAGUUGGUAGGGUAAUGGCCUACCAAGGCUAAGACGGGUAGCUGGUCUGAGAGGAUGAUCAGCCACACUGGAACUGAAACACGGUCCAG
rnacentral:rRNA from 1 species